rnacentral:lncRNA from 1 species
UGCUGCAAUCCAUGUAAGAUGUGACUUGUUCCUCCUUGCCUUCUGCCAUGAUUGUGAGGCCUCCACAGCCAUGCGGAACGGUUGAAAUACACACUACCUGAAGCUGGAUAACUCAUGAACUCUGUUGACAAUUAUAUUCUUUGUCUUUUUAAUUAACUCAUUUGGAGUUGGUGUCCUGAGGACCUAAGCCUAAGAAUCUUCAAGAUGGAAGAGUAGAGUGAACAAUGAAUGAGCCAGAGGGCUCUUGUCCUCUGUGUGCAGCUCUGGGCAGCCAGCAGGUGGAUAUGGGACUUGGCCUGCUGGAGGGGCCCUGGCAAGAGGAGCUGGCAGGAGCAGAUGGCAAAGGAUAAAGCGCUCCCUUGUUGGUGUCCCCACAGUCCAGGCUGGUGCUGAUGCCGUCCUGCCGUCCUGCAUCAGAGCCACUCAUGCCCGUGUGCGCACUCUUUGUCGGGGUCUGACACCGUUGCAUCGUAUAUCACCUGUGUUGUCAUGGUCAGUGCUCAACAAAUGCCCCUACUGAUUCAAGUAUAUGAGCAAGUCAAAUAAAAAAAUAAUAUGGCCG